rnacentral:rRNA from 1 species
AGUGAACGCUGGCGGUAGGCCUAACACAUGCAAGUCGAACGGCAGCACAGUAAGAGCUUGCUCUUACGGGUGGCGAGUGGCGGACGGGUGAGGAAUACAUCGGAAUCUACUUUUUCGUGGGGGAUAACGUAGGGAAACUUACGCUAAUACCGCAUACGACCUACGGGUGAAAGCAGGGGAUCUUCGGACCUUGCGCGAUUGAAUGAGCCGAUGUCGGAUUAGCUAGUUGGCGGGGUAAAGGCCCACCAAGGCGACGAUCCGUAGCUGGUCUGAGAGGAUGACCAGCCACCGUGGAACUGACACACGGCCCAGCCCCCUGCGGGGGGGCGCAGGGGGGAUUUUUGGAGAAGGGGCCCAGGCUGCACCCGCCCAUCCCGCGUGGGGGAAAAGGCCCUGGGGUUUCUACGCCCUUUUUUUGGGGAAAAAAAAGCAGGGUGUUAAUCCCCCCUUGUUCGGAGGGUCCCAAAAAAAAAACCCCCGCCUAACUUCGUC